GACAUGNAAGUCGUACGAACGACCCAAUUGAGUAAUCGAGAGGGAAGUUAGUGGCGAAAGGGUGAGUAAUGCAUGGGUAACGUACCCCGGACUCCAGAAUAGCUGCGGAACUUCGGUUCCUUUGCGAAAGUGCAGGUAAUACUGGAUGAUAUCUCGAAAUCGUAUGGUUUCUUGAUCAAAGGUUUACUGGUCUGGGAGCGGCCUAUGUCGUAUCAGCUUGUUGGUGAGGUAACGGCUUACCAAGGCUUCGACGCGUAGCGGGACUGAGAGGUUGGCCCGCCACAUCGGGACUGAGACACUGCCCGGACCUCCACGGAGGGCUGCAGUAACGAAUAUUGCGCAAUGAGCGAAAGCUUGACGCAGCAAUGCCGCGUGUAGGAUGAAGCCCCUCGGGGUGUAAACUACUGACAGGGUGAAGAAAGGUGCGCUUUGGCGUACUUGAUCGAUCCCAGAGGAAGGACCGGCUAACUUCGUGCCAGCAGCCGCGGUAAUACGAAGGGUCCUAGCGUUGUUCGGAAUUAUUGGGCUUAAAGCGCAUGUAGGCGGAUAGUUAAGUGUCUUGUGAAAUCCCUCGGCUCAACCGAGGAACUGCUGGGCAUACUGGCUAUCUUGAGGCAAGUAGGGGUGCAUGGAACUCUAGGUGGAGCGGUGGAAUGCGUAGAUAUCUAGAGGAACGCCGGUGGUGAAAACGGUGCACUGGGCUUGUUCUGACGCUGAGGUGCGAAAGCGUGGGUAGCGAACGGGAUUAGAUACCCCGGUAGUCCACGCCGUAAACGAUGUCUACUAGGUUGUGGUGGGUCUGACCCUGGCACAGCCGAAGCAAAAGUGUUAAGUAGACCGCCUGGGGAGUACGGUCGCAAGGCUAAAACUCAAAGGAAUUGACGG
rnacentral:rRNA from 1 species